rnacentral:rRNA from 1 species
AAUACCAAGGCGCUUGAGAGAACGAUGUUGAAGGAACUCGGCAAAAUACCUCCGUAAGUUCGCGAGAAGGAGGCCCGGGUUCAAGGCAACUUGGAUCCGGGGGCACAAACCAGGGGGUGGCGACUGUUUAUUAAAAACACAGGGCUCUGCGAAGUCGCAAGACGACGUAUAGGGUCUGACGCCUGCCCGGUGCCUGAAGGUUAAAAGGAGGGGUGAGAGCUCCGAAUUGAAGCCCAGGUAAACGGCGGCCGUAACAAUAA